rnacentral:rRNA from 1 species
GUGGGGAAUAUUGGACAAUGGGGGCAACCCUGAUCCAGCCAUGCCGCGUGAGUGAUGAAGGCCUUCGGGUUGUAAAGCUCUUUUGGUGGGGACGAUGAUGACGGUACCCACAGAAUAAGCUCCGGCUAACUUCGUGCCAGCAGCCGCGGUAAUACGAAGGGAGCUAGCGUUGUUCGGAAUUACUGGGCGUAAAGGGCGCGUAGGCGGUCAGGCAAGUCAGGUGUGAAAGCCCUGGGCUCAACCCGGGAAUUGCGCUUGAUACUACUUGGCUUGAAGUCGGGAGAGGUUGGUGGAAUUCCCAGUGUAGAGGUGAAAUUCGUAGAGAUUGGGAAGAACACCCGUGGCGAAGGCGGCCAACUGGACCGACAUUGACGCUGAGGCGCGAAAGCGUGGGGAGCAAACAGGAUUAGAUACCCGUGUAGUCC